AGUAUAAAUAUGCGGGUAAAUUUUUAUUGUCUUCACUAAAAUUAUCUGCAAUUUUUUCGCGCUCGAAAUAAUUCGUAAAUUUAUCAACAUGGCAAAGUUAGAAGCCAAAAUUUGCCUCGCUCUGUUCAUCAUCACUUUAAUGUCGUCUGUUGUAUACUCUUGUUACAAAGCAAAUGAAUAUUGUUUCGAGGCCGGUAACAACAAAUGUUGUCCGAACGGCUAUAACGAGGAAAUAGCUCCUAAUCAACGCCCGACGUACCAAUGUGUUCAUAUGUAUUACCGACAUGGAUAUCCGAAAGAUGUUAUUACAUGUAAAAAGUCUAAUUUGAGAAAACGUAUGUAAACUUACCAUUCAAUUCUUCAAGUGAUUCUCUAAUUUUGGAUCCACCAGAAGAUUUUCAUCAAAUGAUUUUCAAAGAAACUAUGCUCCUUCUUUAUCCGACAAUAUCCCUUUCAUACAUUCAGAAAAAAUUUCUCACUUUUAAUUAUUG